GACGAACGCUGGCGGCGUGCCUAAUACAUGCAAGUCGAACGCAGUGGGGACGGGUGAGUAACACGUGGGUAACCUCCCAUCAGAGGGGAUAACACUUGGAAACAGGUGCUAAACCGAUACAGAUGGCUGGACCAGGGGUGCAUUAGCUAGUUGGGGAGGUAACGGCCCACCAAGGCCACGAUGCAUAGACGACCUGCGCGGGUGAGCGGCCACGCUGGGACGGAGACACGGCCCAGACUCCUACGGGAGGCAGCGGUAGGGAAUCUUCGGCAAUGGACGAAAGUAUGACCGAGCAACGCCGCGUGAGUGAAGAAGGUUUUCGGAUCGUAAAACUCUGUUGUUAGAGAAGCGGUAUCUAACCAGAAAGCCACGGCUAACUACGUGCCAGCCGCCGCGGUAAUUC
rnacentral:rRNA from 1 species